rnacentral:rRNA from 1 species
UGGGGAAUUUUGGACAAUGGGCGCAAGCCUGAUCCAGCCAUGCCGCGUGAGUGAAGAAGGCCUUCGGGUUGUAAAGCUCUUUCGGCGGGGACGAAACGGUUCGUGACAACACCACGGACUAAUGACGGUACCCGCAUAAGAAGCACCGGCUAACUACGUGCCAGCAGCCGCGGUAAUACGUAGGGUGCAGGCGUUAAUCGGAAUUACUGGGCGUAAAGGGUGCGCAGGCGGUUUGUUAAGACAGGUGUGAAAUCCCCGGGCUUAACCUGGGAAUUGCGCUUGUAACUGGCAGGCUAGAGUGUGGCAGAGGGGGGUGGAAUUCCACGUGUAGCAGUGAAAUGCGUAGAUAUCGGGAGGAACACCUGUGGCGAAGGCGGCCACCUGGUUGGAUACUGACGCUGAGACGCGAAAGCGUGGGGAGCAAACAGGAUUAGAUACCCCCGUAGUCCCUGAGCGGGCUGGCAAGGCGCAU